UGUUUUUUAUCUUUGAAGUUUUUUUCAAGCCCAAUCACUUGGCCCCAAAAAACCCCUAAAAGCAGCCACUUUAAUCUACUUGUCCUUAUAUCACUACUCACUUGACAAAAAACCCUACUAGGUAAAAAGUAUUUUAUCUUUGUUGUCUGGUAAUUUUUCUCAGUAUACCGAAACAAGAAAAUCAAAGCAUUUCUACCAUGUCCGGCUCCAGAAAGCAAGAUCCAUCAUCAAUCAUCGCAGAAGAAAUGGCUAAAGUGUUCGGAACCAAGUCGUCCAGGAAAUGGCCGCCAACCAAAUCAACACGCGACGCCACCAUCAAACGAAUCGUCAAAUAUCUCUCCGAAACCUUCCAGAUCCCUGCCACCGAAGCUGACGUCACUGUUCGCCGUAUCGAAGAAGAAGCUUUCACUGCCGCCGGCAGCUCUUCUGCUCCUGCCGCCCGUAUCUAUGAUGUUUACACCCAGGAAAUCCAUAACAGAAUGACGGAGUAUUCUAGAAAUUAGACCUGCUUGAAAGGAUAGAGAUUCUUAGAAGUGAAUAUGCUAAACUGGAACUCCAGGUUUGGGUUAUCUAGCGAUUUAAUAGUCUAUUCUGAUGGUUUGAUGCCUAAGAUCUGAUACAUGUAGGCAUGGUUUUUAGGCUCUGGAGUAACUCGACCAAUCUUUAAGUAUUGGAUUUGUGAUUGUGAUUGAUGGGGAGUUCGACAAGUGAUUGAUUAGUGCACUAAGCAGUGAUGAAAGCAAAGGUUGAUGAAAGUAGGAAAGUAGACAAGCCAAUAGAAUGGUUGUAUGUCAAAGUCAGAAUUCAGAAGCUACUGGUGCAUUGCCGUCACAUUAUUUUUGUUUAUCUGAUCAAGGUGACAUAAAUGGUGUGUAUGUCUAGGAAUUAGUUGGAACUUGUCUAAAGUAAAUAUAAAAAAAAUGAAGUGAAAAACAAUGUAACUAGAUCUGGACCAGUUUAAAUAAAUUUGCUUUUGGUUUUGAA